GGAAUAUUGGUCAAUGGGCGCAAGCCUGAACCAGCCAUGCCGCGUGCAGGAUGAAGGUCCUAUGGAUUGUAAACUGCUUUUGUACGGGAAGAAACCCCUUUACGUGUAAAGGGCUGACGGUACCGUAAGAAUAAGGAUCGGCUAACUCCGUGCCAGCAGCCGCGGUAAUACGGAGGAUCCGAGCGUUAUCCGGAAUCAUUGGGUUUAAAGGGUCCGUAGGCGGCCCGGUAAGUCAGUGGUGAAAUCUCACGGCUCAACCGUGAAAUGGCCAUUGAUACUGUCGGGCUUGAAUUGUUGGGAAGUAACUAGAAUAUGUAGUGUAGCGGUUAAAUGCUUAGAUAUUACAUGGAAUACCGAUUGCGAAGGCAGGUUACUACCAAUACAUUGACGCUGAUGGACGAAAGCGUGGGGAGC
rnacentral:rRNA from 1 species